UGGGGAAUAUUGGACAAUGGGCGCAAGCCUGAUCCAGCAAUGCCGCGUGAGUGAUGAAGGCCUUAGGGUUGUAAAGCUCUUUUACCCGGGAUGAUAAUGACAGUACCGGGAGAAUAAGCUCCGGCUAACUCCGUGCCAGCAGCCGCGGUAAUACGGAGGGAGCUAGCGUUAUUCGGAAUUACUGGGCGUAAAGCGCACGUAGGCGGCUUUGUAAGUUAGAGGUGAAAGCCUGGAGCUCAACUCCAGAAUAGCCUUUAAGACUGCAUCGCUUGAAUCCAGGAGAGGUGAGUGGAAUUCCGAGUGUAGAGGUGAAAUUCGUAGAUAUUCGGAAGAACACCAGUGGCGAAGGCGGCUCACUGGACUGGUAUUGACGCUGAGGUGCGAAAGCGUGGGGAGCAAACAGGAUUAGAUACCCCCGUAGUCC
rnacentral:rRNA from 1 species